rnacentral:lncRNA from 1 species
AGCUGGCAGAAGAAGGCUAUCACUGGUCUACUUCUCUUGAUUUCUUUGAUAGUUUAAAAAAAAUCUGUCUAUUGGACUGUGAUUUAUAACUUUGAAGUCAGGAAAAUCAGAUCUUUCCUCUUCUGUUGGACUAUUAAUUUGAAUUACUAGGCUGAGGGAAACAUGGAAUUGAGGACAAAAGUUAGGAAUGGAAAUUUAUUCCUUCAACAAACAUUAUGAUUUGGUAGAUAUAAAGAAGUAUAAUAUCCUCACAUACUAAAGAUAACAUGAUCUUUACCCUCUAGGAACUCUCAAGCUAUUUGAAGAAAUAAAUAACUCAAGGCAAAAUUAUGAAGACUUCCUUGGAACGAUAAAACUAGACUCUUAUGAACUUUUGAGCAAAAGAAACCAUCCACUGUGGCCUGAUUCUACUCUGGAGGAGGUCCAGAAUCCUGACACUGGUGCAUCAAAGAGACACUGCAAAGAAGCAGCAUCAGCUCCAAAGAUGAGUGAAG